AAGUCGUAACAAGGUUUCCGUAGGUGAACCUGCGGAAGGAUCAUUAACACGUAUCCAACGUUAAACAACCCUGUGAACUUUCAACACCGCCGGAAUGAGAUUAAUUUCCAACUCCGGUGAAGGCAAGUGACCUGGCACCUGGACCACAUCAAAGCUCUGACAGAGUGCCUCUGGAUUGUGCUUGAAGGGUGACGCAGUAACGAUCGCUGGAGGCCCACACGGCCGGCGACUGGGUCAGCGAGCUAACGCUCCCUCAACCACUUAACAUGACGACAGUUCCUCUUUAACUUGAGUUGAGCUAUAACAAAAAACUAUACAACUGUUAACAAUGGAUAUCUUGGUUCUC
rnacentral:misc_RNA from 1 species